CGCGGAGAGGAAUCAGAGGAGUUUGAAGUAGAAAGUGAUGAUGAAAAUUAUGUUGAGGAGGAAAGUUCUGAUGGAACAACCGAAGAAUUAGUUAGUCCAUCUGCCACAAAUACAUCGAGACCGCAAUUUACAGGGCUUCUAUAGCAAGACUGAGAGAGGGUGUUUCUUCAGAAAACAGACUACAAACUUUAUAUUUUCAAAAUGACCCACAUUGGGGCCGGAUGAAGAACGUCCACAUCCUCCUGAAGAUCCAGAAGGUCGCCUUGUAAACACGAAUUGGUGCAAAUGUGAAAACUGCAAAAAAAUGCCAACAUUGGAAGAAAGCUUAUGUUGCCAUGAGUAUGCCCAGAUGUCAUGUUUUUUGGUUGAGGUUCCCUGUGUAACUCUACAUCAAUUUUUUACAACAAAAGUAAUCGAUCACAGUUAUCUGGUCGAUCUAAUAGAAUACGAUGCACAAAUCACUCAACGUGAAUUUGAACUACAUGAGAAUCGAAACCUACGCCUUGCGGCAUAUAGAAAAUUUACUGCAAGUGUAUACGGACUUCUUGGUCAAGGCAAUCGAGUACCAAUACCAUCUUGUGCUGUCAACCUCAUUCGCAGAAAAUUUCCCGACCCACAUG